rnacentral:tRNA from 1 species
GCGCUCGUAGCUCAGUUGGAUUAGAGCAUCGGUCUACGGAACCGAGGGUCGGAGGUUCGAAUCCUUCCGGGCGCGCCA